AUCUUUGCGCUUGGGAUAAUAAUACAAUUAGUGAGGUUCUAACCAAGGUGUGUCUAUUAUUACUGAUUAAAAAUUAUUUCUAAACCCUUUCUUCAGUCUGAACUUGCCUUAGGCUGUUAAGAAUUUUUUGAAGGACUCCCUUUGAGAUAAAGUC
rnacentral:snRNA from 1 species